UAGGGAAUCUUCCGCAAUGGGCGAAAGCCUGACGGAGCAACGCCGCGUUAGUGAUGAAGGUCUUCGGAUCGUAAAACUCUGUUAUUAGGGAAGAACAAAUGUGUAAGUAACUAUGCACGUCUUGACGGUACCUAAUCAGAAAGCCACGGCUAACUACGUGCCGGCAGCCGCGGUAAUACGUAGGUGGCAAGCGUUAUCCGGAAUUAUUGGGCGUAAAGCGCGCGUAGGCGGUUUUUUAAGUCUGAUGUGAAAGCCCACGGCUCAACCGUGGAGGGUCAUUGGAAACUGGAAAACUUGAGUGCAGAAGAGGAAAGUGGAAUUCCAUGUGUAGCGGUGAAAUGCGCAGAGAUAUGGAGGAACACCAGUGGCGAAGGCGACUUUCUGGUCUGUAACUGACGCUGAUGUGCGAAAGCGUGGGGAUCAAACAGG
rnacentral:rRNA from 1 species